AGUGAACGCUGGCGGUAGGCCUAACACAUGCAAGUCGAACGGCAGCACAGUAAGAGCUCGCUCUUACGGGUGGCGAGUGGCGGACGGGUGAGGAAUACAUCGCCAUCUACUUUUUCGUGGGUGAUAACGUAGGGAAACUUACGCUAAUACCGCAUACGACCUACGGGUGAAAGCAGGGGAUCUUCGCACCUUGCGCGAUUGAAUGAGCCGAUGUCGGAUUAGCUAGUUGGCGGGGUAAAGGCCCACCAAGGCGACGAUCCGUAGCUGGUCUGAGAGGAUGAUCAGCCACACUGGAACUGAGACACGGUCCAGACUCCUACGGGAGGCAGCAGUGGGGAAUAUUGGACAAUGGGCGCAAGCCUGAUCCAGCAAUACCGCGUGGGUGAAGAAGGCCUUCGGGUUGUAAAGCCCUUUUGUUGGGAAAGAAAAGCAGCAGGUUAAUACCCCGCUGUUCUGACGGUACCCAAAGAAUAAGCACCGGCUAACUUCGUG
rnacentral:rRNA from 1 species